rnacentral:rRNA from 1 species
UGCAUGGUUGUCGUCAGCUCGUGUCGUGAGAUGUUGGUUAAGUCCCGCAACGAGCGCAACCCUCGACCUUAGUUGCCAGCAUUCAGUUGGGCACUCUAAGGUGACUGCCGGCUAAAAGUCGGAGGAAGGGGGGGAUGACGUCAAAUCAUCAUGCCCCUUAUGACCUGGGCUACACACGUGCUACAAUGGGCGGUACAAAGGGUCGCGAACCCGCGAGGGGGAGCCAAUCCCAAAAAGCCGCUCUCAGUUCGGAUUGCAGGCUGCAACUCGCCUGCAUGAAGCCGGAAUCGCUAGUAAUCGCGGAUCAGCAUGCCGCGGUGAAUACGUUCCCGGGCCUU